CACUGUCACUCCUACGGGAGGCAGCAGUGGGGAAUAUUCGGCAAUGGGGCAACCCUGACCGAGCCAUGCCGCGUGUGUGAUGAAGGCCCUAGGGUUGUAAAGCACUUUCAACGGUGAAGAUAAUGACGGUAACCGUAGAAGAAGCUCCGGCUAACUUCGUGCCAGCAGCCGCGGUAAUACGAAGGGAGCUAGCGUUGUUCGGAAUUACUGGGCGUAAAGCGCGCGUAGGCGGACUGAUCAGUCAGGGGUGAAAUCCCCGGGGCUCAACCCGGAACUGCCUUUGAUACUGUCAGUCUAGAGUCCGGAAGAGGUGAAUGGAACUCCUAGUGUAGAGGUAGAAAUUCGUAGAUAUUAGUGAAGAACACCAGUGGCGAAGGCGAUUCACUGGUCCGGUACUGACGCUGAGGUGACGAAAGCGUGGGGAGCAAACAGGAUUAGAUACCCUGGUAG
rnacentral:rRNA from 1 species